rnacentral:misc_RNA from 1 species
GAAAAUUUAUCAUCAAAUUAAUUUUUGAUGGAUCUUGAGUGCUGCUGCUAUAUAGCUCACUUUAAAUAUAUAAGUUCUUUCUACCAUAUGUUGGAUUGACUUGGUGUAAUACUUUUUCAUCAAGGAAAGUAGCAAUACUUGCCAAUAAUAAUGUAAUGAGGACUCCUAAAACAAUUGAUUUUAUUAUCAAUAAUUCAUUUAUUU